rnacentral:rRNA from 1 species
AUGAUUAUACAAAACUUUUAUGCCGGAUUGAAGUUUUCUUCUAGAAAUCUUUUAGAUUCGGUCGUGGGAGGCACUUUUAUGGAAAUCACUUUAGGAGAAGCUACUAAACUCCUAAAUAAUAUUAUGGUUAAUUAUUCUCAAUGUCAUACUGAAAGAUCUACUAAUAAAAAGGUGCAUGCAAUAGAAGAAAUUAAUGUUUUGAGUGGAAAGAUGGAUGUACUUAUGAAAUUAUUUGCUAAUAAGAGUGUUUCUUCUGAUCCUAAUGAUAUGCCCUUGUCUACUUUGAUUGAGAAUAAUAAUGAAUCUUUGGAUGUGAAUUUUGUUGGUAGGAACAAUUUUGGUAACAAUGCGUAUAGAGGAAAUUUUAAUCCUAGGCCUUAUCCUAGUAAUCCCUCUAAUAAUUAUGGUAAUUCCUACAACAAUUCUUAUGGAAAUUAUAAUAAGAUACCCUCUGAUUUUGAAUCUAAUAUUAAAGAAUUUAUUACUUUGCAAAAGAAUUUUUAUGCUUUGAUUGAAGAAAAAUUGCUUAAGAUUGAUGAGUUGGCUAGGAACGUUGAUAGAAUUUCUCUUGAUGUUGAUUCUUUGAAACUUAGAUCUAUUCCACCUAAGCAUGAUAUCAAUGAGUCUCUCAAAGCCAUGAGGAUUUCCAUUGAUGAGUGCAAAGAAAGAACCGCUAGGAUGCUUGCUAAGAAAGAUGCCUUUAUAAGAGCGUGUUCUUCUAGUUCCUAUGAAAAUAAUGAUGAAGGUCUAAAAGUUAUUGAUGUGUCCCUUAUUAAAUCUUUGUUUUGCAAUAUGAAUCUUGAUAAUAAUGGGACUGAAUAUGAUCCACCUUUAUCUAGAAGGUGUUCCAAGAAUUCGGAACUUUUUGAUCUUGAUGCUAAAAUUGAUAAAAAUGGGAUUGAAGAGAUUAAAACCCUAGAUGUUUUUAAGCCCACUAUUAUGGAUUUCAAGGAAUUUAACUAUGAAAAAUGCUCCUUGAUUGAUUGUAUUUCCUUGUUGCAAUCCGUGCUAAAUUAUCCUCAUGCUUAUAGUCAGAAUAAAGCGUUUACUAAACAUAUCGUUGAUGCCUUGAUGCAAUCUUAUGAUGAGUGGGAACCAACUAUUAAAAUUAAAAUUAAAUAUCAUGAAUGCUAUGAUUUAUGUGAUUUGGGUGCUAGUGUUUCCACGAUUCCAAAGACUUUGUGUGAUUUGUUAGGUUUCCGUGAUUUUGAUGAUUGCUCUUUAAACUUGCACCUUGCGGAUUCCACUAUUAAGAAACCUAUGGGAAGAAUUAAUGAUGUUCUUAUUGUUGCAAAUAGGAAUUAUGUCCCCAUAGAUUUUAUUGUUCUUGACAUAGAUUGCAAUCCUUCAUGUCCUAUUAUUCUUGGUAGACCUUUCCUUAGAACGAUUGGUGCAAUUAUUGAUAUGAAGGAAGGAAAUAUUAGAUUCCAAUUUCCAAUAAGGAAAGGCAUGGAACACUUUCCUAGAAAGAAAAUUAAAUUACCUUAUGAAUCUAUUAUGAUAGCCACUUAUGGGUUGCCUACCAAAGAUGGCAAUACCUAG